rnacentral:lncRNA from 1 species
AAUCCUAAAGAUGAAUUCUAAUCCUAAUUUUGAAAAUGGGAUGAUUCUAAAUUCAAUCAAAGACCAAUUAAAAUCUAAUCAAGGUUCUAAUUAAAAUCUUAAUAAGAAGUCCUAAUUAAAAUUCUAAUAAAACCCUAAUUGAAACUAAAAAUCCUAAAAAUCAAGAUUUUAUUCCUAAUUGUCAAAAUUACCUAAUUAAUCUAAUAUUAUCCUAAUUAACCUAAUUAUAUUGCAAAAAA